ensembl:lncRNA
GGUUCUUCCUCCAACCAGGUGUGCACGGACCUGCACAAGCACCCACUGCAGGACACGGGCGUGACAGGAAGGGUUGGGCAGGUCCUUCAAAACAUUAAACAGCUGUUUAAGGCCGAGCUCUGCUGAUGAUGGGUGAGCACCAGUUGGAGAGGAUGGGGGGUGAAGGGGGAGCAUCUUCAGGACAUCCUACUGGACCAUCUUUGCCUCAGGGUCCAGGAGGAACUGGAGAACCUCAACAACAUCUUCUCUGUUUGAAGGAAGUUGAAGGUCGUUUCUGGAUACAUUGCUAACUAGCGUUAGCGCAAUGACUGGUCCUCUACUGGAGCAGCUAGCAUGAUUUCAUCUGACUCUGAGUAAGUCGAAAAAAGGGUUUGAUUGCCAGAAUGACGAACUAUCCCUUUAAACUGUAUCAGGAAUUCAGUUGUAGCCUAUAUCAACGACGUCUUCUUUGAUGAAGAAGUAACUACUGUAUGUCUAAAACUGUAUCAUGAAGGGACAGACAUCUACUGUGUCCUCUUAGAUGGCAUAAAAAAAUUCAUUUGUAGCCUAUAUCAGUUGGCUCAUAUAAACUCACAGUGCAAAUACUGUGAGAGAGUCAUACAAGGUUCCUUCAUCAGCCAACAUGAUUGACAGACAUGUAUUUCAUCAAGAGGGUUAGCUUAGAGAUACAUAUCUCCUGCCAAGAAUAGAUUGACAUCGAAAGAGAAGAGAAAGCCUCUGAUGGAUUAUUCAACAGAACUGAAAAGAAAAGACAGAACAAGUUACGUUAUUUGGCGUGGAUACAUAAAACAAGUUCAAGUUCAAUACUAUAGAUAAAAUACGUUCCCCAGGGUUUUUGUUCACAGUGGGGUAUGCUUGCAUUUAAAAUGUUUUUUAACCAAAGGUUUCUUUAUCGCUUUCUCUUUUGAGUGUUUCUCUUCAUGACUAGGAGAAGAUGUCUCUGAUAUUCUUAUGUUCCCCAUCUACUAUGUGGAGGUCUAGAGAAGACAAAAGCAUUUGCUUUAAGGAAUCAUUGACCUGAAGAAAAAAGGCCAGAUUGGUUUUGGCACAGUGUUAUUUUCACGGACACUUCUGUGAAUCAAGUCCUUGCCUCUCGCUCUGUGCUGCUCUUGCAAUCUUAUUUUUCACAAUACUCAAUACACUAUGUGGCAGUUAUUACAGAGGGAGAAUAUAAUUCCUCAUUGAACAGGGGAUACAGUGCAUCCCUCAUCUGGACUAAAUGUUGCCUUCCCUUACUCAGCGCUGAUUUGGCUAUCUAAUGGCCUGUUAUAUUACUCCCAGGAGACCCAGUGUGAAUUAGAAGGGAGAGUAAGUAAAUUAGUCUUGAGUUAAAUGUAGGGACACAUGGCCAUAAUUUAAAUAACAUCCCAAAUGCUGCUCCAAGCUAUUAGGUCUUUCACAGGGAAGGUAAUGGGGGAUCAUUUAAUGGG